rnacentral:rRNA from 1 species
AUUCCCCUAGUAACUGCGAGUGAAGAGGGAAAAGCUCAAAUUUAAAAUCUGGCAGUCUUUGGCUGUCCGAGUUGUAAUUUAGAGAAGUGUUACCCGCGUUGGACCGUGUAUAAGUCUCCUGGAAUGGAGCGUCAUAGAGGGUGAGAAUCCCGUCUUUGACACGGACUACCAGUGCUUUGUGGUGCGCUCUCGAAGAGUCGUGUUGUUUGGGAAUGCAGCACUAAAUGGGUGGUAAAUUCCAUCUAAAGCUAAAUAUUGGCGAGAGACCGAUAGCGAACAAGUACCGUGAGGGAAAGAUGAAAAGAACUUUGGAAAGAGAGUUAAACAGUACGUGAAAUUGCUGAAAGGGAAACGCUUGAAGUCAGUCGCGUUGGCUAGGGAUCAACCUUGCUUUUGUGGGGUGUACUUCCUAGCUGACGGGUCAACAUCAGUUUUGACUACUGGAAAAAGGCUAGAGGAAUGUGGCAACUCCGGUUGUGUUAUAGCCUCUAGUCAUAUACAGUGGUUGGGACUGAGGAACUCAGGACGCCGCAAGGCCGGGUUUCGACCACGUUCGUCCUUAGGAUGUUGGCAUAAUGGCUUUAAGCGACCCGUCUUGAAACACGGACCAAGGAGUCUAACAUGCCUGCGAGUAUUUGGGUGGAAAACCCGAGUGCGUAAUGAAAGUGAAAGUUGAGAUCCCUGUCGUGGGGAGCAUCGACGCCCAUACCUGAAGUUUUCUGACGGAUAUGCGGUUGAGCAUGUAUGUUGGGACCCGAAAGAUGGUGAACUAUGCCUGAAUAGGGUGAAGCCAGAGGAAACUCUGGUGGAGGCUCGUAGCGAUUCUGACGUGCAAAUCGAUCGUCGAAUUUGGGUAUAGGGCGAAAGACUAAUCGAACCAU